UAAGAUUCUAAGUUAAACUACCCUCUG
rnacentral:tRNA from 2 species